AGAUCACCACGGUGACUUGCAAGCAACUCACUGUGCUUUGGUGCCAGACUGCCUGUAUUUUUAAUAUAGGUUCGAAAGAUUUUUGGGUACAGUCAAGUACUUGUGAAGUCGGUGUAUGAGUCAAGAUGGGAUUGACCACUCCUGAUUAAUUUCAGGAAGAGAAUGUCUCGUUGUGUUUCACUUUAGCAAAACCUAGGCC
rnacentral:lncRNA from 1 species